rfam:Aedes aegypti strain Liverpool supercont1.348 genomic scaffold, whole genome shotgun sequence.
GAUGUUAAGUAGGCACUUGCAGGCAAAGUUUCAUUCACAAUUUGACUGCUUUUUCCUACCUUACAUU